rnacentral:misc_RNA from 1 species
GAGUCGUAACAAGGUUUCCGUAGGUGAACCUGCGGAAGGAUCAUUAACACGUAGCCAAACGUUAAACAACCCCGUGAACAUACAACCUGCUCUGGUCGCCCGCUCGCAUGGACAAGCCCAGUAAAUCAAGCCCCGGAAAGUUUUUGAUUUGGGACCUCUGUGCGCGUGAGAAAAACUGACAGCGAUUCAUAGAAGCGAACACCGCUCCCUUCCGAACCCCACUUUAUUGCCUUGCCUGUAAGCAUCCAUACGGAUGGGCAGGCCCCCCGAACAACUGUUAACAAUGGAUAUCUUGGUUCUC